rnacentral:rRNA from 1 species
AUUGAACGCUGGCGGCAGGCCUAACACAUGCAAGUCGAGCGAGCGGCGGACGGGUGAGUAAUGUCUGGGAAACUGCCUGAUGGAGGGGGAUGACUACUGGAAACGGUAGCUAAUACCGCAUACCAUCAGAUGUGCCCAGAUGGGAUUAGCUAGUAGGUGGGGUAAUGGCUCACAUAGGCGACGAUCCCUAGCUGGUCUGAGAGGAUGACCAGCACAACUGGAACUGAGACACGGUCCAGACUCCUACGGGAGGCAGCAGUGGGGAAUAUUGCACAAGGGGCGCAAGCCGGAUGCAGCCAUGCGGCGUGUGUGAAGAAGGCCUUCGGGUGGUAAAGCACUUUCAUCGGGGAGGCGUUACUCGCAGAGGAAGCACCGGCUAACUCCGUGCCAGCAGCCGCGGUAAUAC